rnacentral:misc_RNA from 1 species
GGAUCAAACACUAUAACAAAAGUGUAGUAGAAUAUGUAUA